UGCCAGCAGCCGCGGUAAUACGGAGGGGGCUAGCGUUGUUCGGAAUUACUGGGCGUAAAGCGCACGUAGGCGGACUGAUCAGUAGGGGGUGAAAGCCCAAGGCUCAACCUUGGAACUGCCCUCUAUACUGUCAGUCUUGAGUCCGGGAGAGGUGAGUGGAAUUCCUAGUGUAGAGGUGAAAUUCGUAGAUAUUAGGAAGAACACCAGUGGCGAAGGCGGCUCUCUGGUCCAUACCUGACGCUGAGGCGCGAAAGCUAGGGUAGCGAACAGGAUUAGAUA
rnacentral:rRNA from 1 species